GCAGCUGCAACCGAGUGGAUAAGGCGAUGGACUAGAAAUCCAGUGGGGUCUCCCCCCGUAGUUCGAUCUACCGGCUGCG